UUUGCAAUGGUUUUUUCUUUUUUCUUUUUUGCCGAUUAUAUAAAAAAGCCUAUAUAUAGAACUCAUCUCUUGUGACUAUUCCGAAAACCGAGCCAAAAUGCAGAACUCGACGUACAACAUGGUCUUUCUUCUUUGCUUUAUCGUUCUUCUGGGUUCGAUGACGAUGACACGUGGACAAGGACAAGAAGAAAGAAAAGAAGCAGCAAGAAAAGCAAGAUGCAGGUUAACUGGCGUGGAAUCUGGAAAUGCCCUUUUGUCCAUUGUUGAUGAAAUUAGUAGUUGCCGUGGUAAUCAUUGCCAGCAACUUGUCAAUAACACAAGCGAAGUAGAAGCGUAUCCUAUAGAAGACAUGUGCUUAAUUUCAUUAAAAAUUAGAAUGAAUUAUGAAUGAA